rnacentral:ncRNA from 1 species
GUGCAGCACUACGGGCGCUUGUGUGAGCUUUCCUCAUUCCAUCCACCUGAGCUCUCCGAAGCUCAGAGAUGGAUUGAGCUCAAAGCUCGAAAAACACAAUGCUGAGAUUGUACCGUUAAAACUCGAUCAAGUUAAUGCUUGCGUGGGAAACGUGCUGCCGCUUCUUC